AAAAAUAAAUGCUGAAUUUACUAAAUUUUUUUACUACAGGGUUGAAAAGUAAUGGGGGUCAGUGAAGGAAUUAAGUGCGAAUCUACAGUGUUUGUAAACAAGGCCAUGUGAAUGCCCAAAAAUGCCGCAUGACCCUAUGUUUUUAUUGUUGCAAAUGAUAGGGCUACAUUUGUACUUUCAUGAAUGAUAUAUGAAAUUUUCUAAUUUCUAAAGUUUUGUCUGUCUAGUUUUGGUGAAGAAACCAUCCUGAUGUUGGGGUAACAGGAAUUUCUGCAGAGUGAUUGUCAAUGACAUUUUGUGAACUUUACAAGUAAUUAAAACACAAAUUUAGUAAAAUGAAACAUAAUUGUUGGUUUUUUUUGUAUGAAACUGCUUAAAAAAGCCUUUGAAAAG